UCCACCUCACUUUGUGGAAGCUGGUGUUU
rnacentral:piRNA from 1 species